UAUUAUUAACCUGAGCUAAAGUGUAAUUAAUGGUUAAUUUAGUCUAUUGUGUUGGGUCGCCAGGCACAGGUAUCUUUUAUAUCAAAACUUAAUGAUAAGCUGCAGCCAUAUUUCACAUUAUAAGGUAGAGAUUCAUUUAUUUCAGUUGUCCAUCACAUUAUAAGGUAGAGUUUCAUUUAUUUCAGUUGUCCAUCACAUUAUAAGGUAGAGUUUCAUUUAUUUCAGUUGUCCAUCACAUUAUAAGGUAGAGUUUCAUUUAUUUCAGUUGUCCAUCACAUUAUAAGGUAGAGUUUCAUUUAUUUCAGUUGUCCAUCACAUUAUAAGGUAGAGAUUCAUUUAUUUCAGUUGUCCAUCACAUUAUAAGGUAGAGUUUAAUUGGUAAAUUAUUGCUUUCAGACAACAGGGGAUCUUAGGAGUUUAUCUUUGCGGUCAAUAGUUAGACAAGCCUAAGACGUCAUAAUUUUAUAAGACGUUUGUGAGGGAAACGUCGUAGAAGAGAAGCGUCUUAGGUUUGUCUAAAUUAUUGAUUGGAAAAAUAAAAUUCCUAAGAAUC